CCUACGAGGUGCAGCAGUGAGGAAUAUUGGUCAAUGGGCGCGAGCCUGAACCAGCCAAGUCGCGUGAGGGAAGACGGUCCUAUGGAUUGUAAACCUCUUUGGUCGGAGAGCAAAAGACGCCACGCGUGGCGUUCCGAGAGUACCCGAAGAAAAAACAUCGGCUAACUCCGUUCCAGCAGCAGCGGUAAUACGGAGGAUUCGAGCGUUAUCCGGAUUUAUUGGGUUUAAAGGGUGCGCCGGGGGAAGAUCAAGGCAGCGGUAAAAUUGAGAGGCUCAACCGCCUCGAGCCGUUGAAACUGGUUUUCUUGAGUGAGUGAGAAGUAUGCGGAAUGCGUGGUGUAGCGGUGAAAUGCAUAGAUAUCACGCAGAACUCCGAUUGCGAAGGCAGCAUACCGGCGCUCAACUGACGCUCAUGCACGAAAGUGUGGGUAUCGAACAGGAUUAGAUACCCCGGUAGUC
rnacentral:rRNA from 1 species